rnacentral:rRNA from 1 species
UACAGAGGGGGCAAGCGUUGUUCGGAAUUACUGGGCGUAAAGGGCGCGUAGGCGGCCUUCUAAGUCGAACGUGAAAUCCCUGGGCUUAACCCAGGAACUGCGUCCGAUACUGGAAGGCUUGAAUCCGGGAGAGGGAUGCGGAAUUCCAGGUGUAGCGGUGAAAUGCGUAGAUAUCUGGAGGAACACCGGUGGCGAAGGCGGCUUUCUGGGCCUUACCUGACGCUAGACGCGAAAGCGUGGGGAGCGAACCGG